AGCAGCCGCGGUAAUUCCAGCUCCAAUAGCGUAUAUUAAAGUUGUUGCAGUUAAAAAGCUCGUAGUUGAAUUUCGAAAUUUUUUUAUCGGUUGAAUCAACAGGUUCGUACUGAUUUUAAGAAUUUCUACCUUCUGGAGAACCUUAAUGUCAUUUAUUUGAUGUUUUGGGAAACCAGGACUGUUACCUUGAAAAAAUUAGAGUGUUUAAAGCAGGCUUAUGUCUGAAUAUAUUAGCAUGGAAUAAUGAAAUAGGACGGUAUGGUUCUAUUUUGUUGGUUUCUAGGAUCACCGUAAUGAUUAAUAGGGAUAGUUGGGGGCAUUAGUAUUCAAUUGUCAGAGGUGAAAUUCUUGGAUUUAUUGAAGACUAACUUCUGCGAAAGCAUUUGCCAAGGAUGUUUUCAUUAAUCAAGAACGAAAGUUAGGGGUUCGAAGGCGAUCAGAUACCGCCCUAGUCUAACCAUAAACGAUGCCGACCGGCCGAUCCGCCGUCGUUAAUUGAAUGACUCGGCGGGCAGCCUCC
rnacentral:rRNA from 1 species